CGUUGAAACACUGGUUCCCGUACGAUCACCGAAGUUAAGCACCGUCUAAGCCUGGUCAGUACCUAGAUGGGUGACCGCUUCGAAAUACCAGGUGCUGUAAG
rnacentral:rRNA from 1 species